rnacentral:rRNA from 1 species
UACAGAGGUCCCAAGCGUUGUUCGGAUUUACUGGGCGUAAAGGGCUCGUAGGUGGCCAACUAAGUCAUACGUGAAAUCCCUACGGCUUAACCGGGGAACUGCGUCUGAUACUGGAUGGCUUGAGUUUGGGAGAGGGACGCGGAAUUCCAGGCGUAGCGGUGAAAUGCGUAGAUAUCUGGAGGAACACCGGUGGCGAAGGCGGCGUCCUGGACCAACACUGGACACUGAUGAGCGAAAGCCAGGGAGCAAACGGG